UCCAAGCAUUACAUAUGACGGAACCUGUAAACCCAGAAUUGUCGUAAUUAGCGUCUUUACAUGAAGUGAUGCUCAAUUGAUCUUCAUCAAACCACAAACACAAAUUCUACAUACUACACCCUAUAUAUAAAGUGUAAAUUUUUGAGAUUUCAGGUUCACCCCUUUUGCAGAAGGGUGGACUUGAACAACAAAGGGGAAGACUUGAUCAAUAUAAAGCAUGAAGGAAAGGACUUGAAUCACAAAGGUACAGACUUGAUCCUCUAUGCAGGACAAUAAAAAAAAGAUCUGACCCAUAUGAACAGUUAUAGGUAUAAAGUGAAACAGCAGCUGGCUUGAUCCUAUAGAGCAAAGGUGUUGCUUGAUCCCAUUUAACACAUGAAAGAAAUGGACUGAUUAAUAUGAACACCAAAACAAAGAACUUGGUGCUAUACAAGGUACAAAAAUGCAAUGGAUUUGAUCCCAUAUGAAGCAUUAAAGCAAACUUGAUUGCAUAAUCUGCACAACACCAAAAUAGUGGACACUAUUUAUUUCUCUGUAGAAAAAAAAAGUAUUAACUAAUUUAUAAAGCACCAAAAGAAAACAAUAAAAAGAAAAAGGAGUAAAUUUGAUACUACGUGAAACAUAAAAAAGACAUGAUCGCAGAUGUCAUUCCACCAAAAGCCAAAAAUAAAUAAAUAAACAAACAUGUGUGUGGCAGCCUAAUUCAACGUAGUCCCAAAAGAGUAAGCCUAAAAAUGAG
rnacentral:misc_RNA from 1 species